AUUGAACGCUGGCGGCAGGCCUAACACAUGCAAGUCGAGCGGAUGAAGGGAGCUUGCUCCUGGAUUCAGCGGCGGACGGGUGAGUAAUGCCUAGGAAUCUGCCUGGUAGUGGGGGAUAACGUCCGGAAACGGGCGCUAAUACCGCACCCGUCCUGAGGGAGAAAGUGGGGGAUCUUCGGACCUAACGCUAUUAGCUGAGCCUAGGUCGGAUUAGCUAGUUGGUGGGGUAAAGGCCUACCAAGGCGACGAUCCGUAACUGGUCUGAGAGGAUGAUCAGUCACACUGGAACUGAGACACGGUCCAGACUCCUACGGGAGGCAGCAGUAGGGAAUAUUGGACAAUGGGCGAAAGCCUGAUCCAGCCAUGCCGCGUGUGUGAAGAAGGUCUUCGGAUUGUAAAGCACUUUAAGUUGGGAGGAAGGGCAGUAAGUGAAUACCUUGCUGUUUUGACGUUACCAACAGAAUAAGCACCGGCUAACUUCGUG
rnacentral:rRNA from 1 species